AGUGAACGCUGGCGGUAGGCCUAACACAUGCAAGUCGAACGGCAGCACAGUAAGAGCUUGCUCUUACGGGUGGCGAGUGGCGGACGGGUGAGGAAUACAUCGGAAUCUACUUUUUCGUGGGGGAUAACGUAGGGAAACUUACGCUAAUACCGCAUACGACCUACGGGUGAAAGCAGGGGAUCUUCGGACCUUGCGCGAUUGAAUGAGCCGAUGUCGGAUUAGCUAGUUGGCGGGGUAAAGGCCCACCAAGGCGACGAUCCGUAGCUGGUCUGAGAGGAUGAUCAGCCACACUGGAGCUAAGACACGGUCCAGACUCCUACGGGAGGCAGCAGUGGGGAAUAUUGGACAAUGGGCGCAAGCCUGAUCCAGCCAUACCGCGUGGGUGAAGAAGGCCUUCGGGUUGUAAAGCCCUUUUGUUGGGAAAGAAAAGCAGCAGGUUAAUACCCCGCUGUUCUGACGGUACCCAAAGAAUAAGCACCGGCUAACUUCGUG
rnacentral:rRNA from 1 species